rnacentral:lncRNA from 1 species
AUUCCUUUACUUUUUAUAAAAUGCUUAAGUUAUAAUAAAAUUUCUUCAAAAUAUAAUAUUCUUACAAAGGAUUUUUUCUUCUCAAAUUUUAGAAAUUCAUAUCUCUUGAUCCAACCAUUCAGAUUUUUCCAAAUUUAUGAAUACUAUAGAAUUCAUCCUUAAACUUUAUGUUACAAAAAUUCAAUUGUAAAUUUACUACCAAUCGUCUGGUAUCUUAAAAAUCCUAGCAAAUGCUCUAAAAUCCUAAUUCACAAGCACCUAAGUACUAUUUUCUUUAUAUCUCACAAAUCUAAAAUCCAAAUGUUACAAAUCUUAUAUAUAAAAUUUAAUAAUAUAGAUAUAUACAUUCUUAAAUAUUUGUAGCCAAAAUCUUGUCAAAUUACAUAAGAUAUAGCUCAAAACACAACUACUAGCAAUUCGGGUCACUUACAACUCGUUAGAUUCCAAAUACUAACUUCAACUUCCAAUAACUCCUUCAUCCCAAUUUAGAAUUCAUCAAACAAUAUACAUAAAGUAUAGCCAAAAAAGCCCUCUCUUUAAUCCUAGUUGUCGAUCUUUUGUUGCUUUCUUAUACAUGCAUUAUAUCUAAAAGAGUGACAGUAGAUACAAAAUCAAUACCUGAACUUUGAGCAUCCAUAUCUCUUUCAUAUAAACUCUAAAAGACUCAAAAUUUGCACCAAAUCA